rnacentral:misc_RNA from 1 species
AGGCUUGCACGACGAGUAAGUACUCGGAAACUCCCCUGAGAAACUGUUCUCAAUAGCUAGCAAAAACUGCAGGUUCCCAUUUUGGCACAAGUACUUUGGGAAUCCACCAGUAAACUUGUUUUCAGAUAUGUCUAUGCUAUUCAGGGGCGAAAACCGACCAAGAUUUGCUGGAAAUGCCCCAGAAAAAUUGUUCCUGUACACGGAAAAGCCAUUAAGAUGCU